CGGGGUCAUCGUAGUAUAAAGAAGUAGAAACUCCGAGCUCUGAGCUUCAAUAAUAUCCAUACAGUUCAACAUGUGAUCAACGUAUUUUCAAUACUUGGCUUCGAAAAAGAUUGAAGGCAAAUCGUCUGACAAAGUGACCUAUCCAAGAAGACAUCAAGGAUGUCAAGUCUUUCGUAGAGAUGUGUUGGCCAUAACGGUUGAAUACAUAGAUUUCGUUUGAAGGCGGAAACGGAAUGUGGAAUUCUCCGCUCUCGUCAUGAUUCGG